GUGUGUGCUAGCCUUGAAGAUUAAGCCAUGCAAGCUAGGGAAGCAAUAUGUGGACCGGCGAACAGCUCAGUAAGACAGUUAUAAUUUACUCGUAGAUCCAAGGAUAACCAUGGUAAGCUAUGGCUAAAACAGGAAUAGAGCCGAAACAACAACGGCUUGAAGAAAAACUCUACGACUAAGUUUCUGGCCUAUUAGCUAGUAGGUAGUGUAAGGGACUACGUAGGCAGUGAUAGGUAACGGGAAAUGAUCGUUUGAUACCGGAGAGGGAGCCUGAGAAAUAGCUCCCACGUCUAAGGAUGGCAGCAGGCGCGAAAAUUACCCAAUGCAAGAAGCGAGGUAGUCAAGAGGCGUAAAAAAUUAAAAUUAACAGUAAAGAUGUUAAUUGUAACUGGAGGGCAAGUCUG
rnacentral:rRNA from 1 species